rnacentral:rRNA from 1 species
CCUACGGGUGGCAGCAGUAGGGAAUAUUGCUCAAUGGGGGAAACCCUGAAGCAGCAACGCCGCGUGGAGGAUGAAGGUUUUCGGAUUGUAAACUCCUUUUGUUAGAGAAGAUAAUGACGGUAUCUAACGAAUAAGCACCGGCUAACUCCGUGCCAGCAGCCGCGGUAAUACGGAGGGUGCAAGCGUUACUCGGAAACACUGGGCGGAAAGAGCGCGUAGGAGGGAUAGCAAGUCAGAUGUGAAAUCCUAUGGCUUAACCAUAGAACUGCAUUUGAAACUGUUAUUCUAGAGUAUGGGAGAGGUAGGUGGAAUUCUUGGUGUAGGGGUAAAAUCCGUAGAGAUCAAGAGGAAUACUCAUUGCGAAGGCGGCUUGCUGGACUGUAACUGACACUGAGGCUCGAAAGCGUGGGGAGCAAACAGGAUUAGAGACCCUGGUAGUC